AAAACCCUCUUCCUUUUCAGACAUACCCCAUCUGAUAUCAAACCUCACCCCAUGCCAUAUCAAGCCUCAUCCCCAUCGAAAAUUCCCUCCUCAUGUAGACACACCCCAUCGCACACUCCAUCAGAUUUACAACAAGCUCCACCGCACACCUCAUCCUCUUUGAAACAGAGCCAUCUCACAACCCAUCUUUGCAAACCCGAACCUAUCUCUAAAACAGAGUCAUCACACCCCACAGCUAACCCCAAACGCCUCACCCCGUCGCAAACCACCAUCGCCUCAGCCAUCGCAAACAUCCAUCACCGAUCUGUCAAGUUUUCACAAAUCCUUCGAAGAGCCAUGAUAUAAGAUGACUCGCAUAGGUACUAUUGAGGCUUCAUCAUCUCAACUUGAUAAACAGCGUCCCACAGCCUCAACGAGGAGACAAAGAACGGCUCCCCAAGAUGACUUUGAGGAUACUACAGAGGUUGAAGAUGUAGCUCUUACUCAUGAUAGUAAUGUUGAUGCAGAGGUUGAAGAUAUAGCUGCUACUCAUGAUAGUAAUGUUGAAGUACAUGCCGAGCCUACUGAGCAUCUCGAGUAGGUCCCAUUGAUCCAUCUUUACUUACGAGUUUUAAAACUCACAUAGUAGCUACAAUUUGGAAUAACCAAAUAAGUCGUUUUAUUGUGACAAUAGAAGGUAUAAUAUAAGUCGGGGAAAUGUGGGACAAUCUGGAGACCCACAUGUUAAGAGAGGCGAACCAAGAUGCAUAUGUGUCUGUCCAUGCAGCCACAAACCUAUCCUUAAAUGAAUUUAACCAACUGUCAUGUAUGCAUUCAA